rnacentral:rRNA from 1 species
GACGUAGGGUGCGAGCGUUGUCCGGAUUUAUUGGGCGUAAAGCGCUCGUAGGCGGCUCGUCGCGUCGACCGUGAAAACUCACAGCUUAACUGUGGGCGUGCGGGCGAUACGGGCAGACUGGAGUACUGCAGGGGAGACUGGAAUUCCUGGUGUAGCGGUGGAAUGCGCAGAUAUCGGGAGGAACACCAAGUGCGAAGGCAGCUUGCUGGGACGAUACUGACGCUGAGGCGCGAAAGCGUGGGGAGCAAACAGG